rnacentral:rRNA from 1 species
CAGUCGCCGCGGUAAUACAGAGGAUGCAAGCGUUAUCCGGAAUGAUUGGGCGUAAAGCGUCUGUAGGUGGCUUUUCAAGUCCGCCGUCAAAUCCCAGGGCUCAACCCUGGACAGGCGGUGGAAACUACCAAGCUGGAGUACGGUAGGGGCAGAAGGAACUUCCGGAGUAGCGGUAAAAUGCGUAGAUCUCGAGAGGAACACCAAUGGCGAAGGCAGCUUCUUGGUCCAUUCCUGACGUUCAUACACGAAAGCGUGGGGAGCAAACAGGAUUAGAUACCCGUGUAGUCCCUGUCUCUUAUAC